rnacentral:rRNA from 1 species
UACGUAGGGUGCAUGCGUUAAUCGGAAUUACUGGGCGUAAAGCGUGCGCAGGCGGUUUUGUAAGUCUGACGUGAAAUCCCCGGGCUUAACCUGGGAAUUGCGUUGGAGACUGCAAGGCUGGAGUCUGGCAGAGGGGGGUAGAAUUCCACGUGUAGCAGUGAAAUGCGUAGAGAUGUGGAGGAACACCGAUGGCGAAGGCAGCCCCCUGGGUCAAGACUGACGCUCAUGCACGAAAGCGUGGGGAGCAAACAGG